rnacentral:rRNA from 1 species
GCCACAGCCAUAUCACCCUGCAGCCCAAGACUGGUUGCCCACUGAAGCUAAGCAGGGUUGAGCCUGGUCAGUACCUGGAUGGGAGACCUUUUGGGAAAACUAGGUUGCUGCUGGAA